rnacentral:rRNA from 1 species
UACGGGGGGGGCAAGCGUUGUUCGGAAUUACUGGGCGUAAAGGGCUCGUAGGCGGCCAACUCAGUCAGACGUGAAAUCCCUCGGCUUAACCGGGGAACGGCAUCUGAUACUGGAUGGCUGGAGUUCGGGAGAGGGAUGCGGAAUUCCAGGUGUAGCGGUGAAAUGCGUAGAUAUCUGGAGGAACACCGGUGGCGAAGGCGGCAUCCUGGACCGACACUGACGCUGAGGAGCGAAAGCCAGGGGAGCAAACGGG